AUAUAAGAGACGAACUUUGUACACAACGCACAACUCACACGCUUAGCUCUGUCUAUCGUCCGACUUAAUCGUCUGGAGGACACUCGUUAUUAUCUCUAGCGGUAAUACAGAGGAAAGGAGCGUUAACUUGGUCAGAGGACGAAACAAUUACCAAGUGCAUUAGCACGUUGAGAGGGACACGUGGUGGUGUUGAUGUCAACAGACCUUCCUACAACUAGUCCAAGGUCUAAGGUAUUGUACGAUCUACAGAACACCUACAGUCGAAGGUGAGGAACAGGCUGACCGUUGACCUCAGCACGGAUCACAAAGUCCUGACCACUGUCCAUGACCAAUAUGAGUCCUACUAACCCCACUUUAAAAGCGAGCUGCAGUCCUAAGUCAGUGUCGUGCGGCGCUAGUCGUGCAGCACUUGUCGCACUGCUGCUGCUGCUGGCGUUGCCGUCGAUGCUGGGGACUGAUGACGAGUUUCGCUGCUACAACGGAGGUACGGUAUAUGAUAUGGAUAGUGAAGUCAUGCCUGGGGUAAUCGUCCCAAAUAUAAAACGAUGUAUAUGUGUGCCACCCUUCGUCGGGACACAAUGUGAUCAACGUUUCGGACAUCCGGUAACGCCUGAUGCUAAGCGUAACUUACUUACUUUAUUGGGCACGACAGCAUAUAAACCAACCAAGACCGGGACGGACAACGCGGAUGAUGAGUCUGAAGAGCGGCCUGUAGAAGGGUAGAGGUGUCGUGAGAGAACACACCUCAGUCCGAAUUAUUGACAGCACAAGCCAGCAAAAUACCAAUAUCCUGGAUGAGUUCUCAUGUUUUUACCAACGACACCAAGCAGGCGGCAACGGCUUUGUUGACAUCAACUGUCGACAGUGAAUAAUACAGGCAACGGUGUCUGUGAUGAAGACAUGUUGAACUGAAAAUGUCAAUAUAAGAGUUAUCCAUCUUGA